CCAGAAUCCCUUCGUGCUGGUUAGUCUUGCUCUAGAGGGAGCUGGAUGUUCCCAAGUUUCGAAGACAUUUUUUGAAGGCACUUUGUCAUUCUAUGAGCUUAGAUCACUGAUCUUUGACCUGACCACACCGAUCCUGGAGAAGUUACGUAAAACGGUACGUGAACUUGGAAUAGAGGAGGAAGUUGAAGGGGGUCUAGGUCCACAAGAGCUUUAUGACGCUCUAUGUUGCUGGAAGGAGAAACACAACCGAGCAGAUCAAGCAAAGAUCUUAAGAGAUGCACUUGAAAGAGCCGAUUUUGAAGAAGCUUGGCUCAUUAUUCUAG